rnacentral:lncRNA from 1 species
CGGCGUAGACGGACAGGUCUGGUUGGUAUUCGGAUCGGAAGGCGGAGAAGGCCUGGAGAGCCAGGUGCCACUGAUCCUGCCGUAGAAGCUCUUUGAGGACGGCGUCAAGGUCUGAUUUGAUUAGGCGGGAGAGCGUUUUGGAGACCAGGGAUGGGUUCGGGUCGGAUCUUUGGGCCCGUUUGAGGGCUUGGACGGCUUGGAUGGCCUCGAUGUUGUGGACCCGGUCUUUGACCAAGGCACCGUGUGGGAACGCGGACUACGGUGGGGGUGCGUGUGGUUGUGAAUGGUCUGGGUACGGGUUUGAGGAAGGUGGUCGGGUUUGGGUGAAGAGAGGACGCCAUGGAUGAGGUAGGUGAAACCGAAGAGCUAAAAGCAAGGGUGGGUCGAGCUCAAAGCCACCGUGUUGGAGCUCGUGCGCCCCUGGGAGGCUUCGGAGUCAUAGUCCCUCUUCUUCUUCCUCAUCUUCGUCUUCGUCUUCAUCUUCAUUUGCUCAGCCUCGCCUCUCUCUUACUUCGCCGUUUCUCUCUCCUCUCCCUUCUCCUUUCUCUUUCUCUUCUGGAGCCAUCGUCGAUUCUGUGACGGUGGCGACGACGCCGUUCCGAGGACCGGUCGGAUAUGUCGGAGCUUGAAGGAGAGGACGACGGUGAAUCAUCGUCGCUCGUUUCCG